GCACCGGCCCGGUCGGGCACCUGGCGGGCGCAGAGGACACAGCACAGGGAGGAGACGCCGGGCGAGGCGGGUGCAGCGGGGCCGCGCUUGGCGUUCCGGAGCCGUGGCCGAACUUUUCUCCGAGAAGUCUCACAUUUGGGGGCCGGAGGAGCGGGACGGGGAGGGGAGAGCGGAGUUCCUGGAAGGAGCAGCCGCCGCCGCUCCACAACAUGGCCUCCUCCGCCUCCUCUUCUCCAGCUGGCGCCGAGGGCACCCCUCCUGCUCAGGGUGACUAUGGAGCCUACAGUUCACGAAGCUCUAGAAAGCUGUACCCUUGGCACAUGGACGUUCUUGGGCAGGGGAUCAAACACACGUCAUACCAGUGACAGUCCUGGAUCCUUAACCCACUGAGCCACCAGGAAACUCCUAUAUUUCUUUUUUACAUGGUAUAAGUAAGAUGUCUGUGAACUUCGAGAAAUGGCUGGUAUGGCUUUAUACGUGACUUUUUUGAGAGAGACUAUAUCUUUUCAUCAAGUAACCAAGGUACUAAUGACUUUUUAAGAAUAUACCUAUGCUGCUAGACCCUGGCAGGUCAGGGACAUGUCUUUAUCUGUCUUUUCUCCCCUGAAGCAUCCUGGAGGACAAUAUCACAGGGACCUUGCCUAUAACAAUAAAGUGAACAGUGAUUAAAAAAACAGCCACAUCGCCAUACUGUGAUUAAGAAGAUGAUGUAUCUGGAUUGUUUUAAUCAAUCACUUGAUAUGACAAGUAUGUGUUCUUUGAAAUCAAUCACUUUCAUUGGCUUAGUUGAAAGCCCUUCUAAUAUUUUAUCCUUAACAUAGGUCUAUUGAUCUUUUCGUGAAUAGAUUUUAUUGGCCACAUUGAGAUUUGGUAUUGUAAUGGCAUAUGCUAUUAUCUAGUUCUCUACAUUCAGUCUACAUGCCAAAAUCAGUCAAGUCUGUAGAAUGAUGAGGGAAUAGAAUAAAAAUGUUGAGUUAAAGAGUUAAUGCAUGUGGGGAGGUCCUGUCAUGGCUCAGUGGUAACAAACCCAACUAGGAUCCAUGAGGUUACAGGUUUAACCUCUGGCCUCACUCAGUGGGUUAAGGAUUCUGCAUUGCUGUGAACCGUGGUGUAGUUAACAGACACAGCUAGGAUCUUGCCUUGCUGUGGCUGUGGUGUAGGCCGGCAGCUGUAACUCUGAUUUAACUCCUAGCCAGGGAAUUUCCAUAUGCUAUGGGUGGGGCCCUAAAAAAAAUUUAAUGCAUGUAUUGCAAAAUGGAUUAUUGUAAAAUUAGAUGUCAAAAGUAAGCUAUUCCACAGUGGCAGUUUUGUUUUGAAAGAUUCUUCACUAAACAGUAAUAGACCCAGAGUCAACAUAUUUAAAGAACUACACGUUAAAAAGAACAGCACCUUGCAUGUGGGAGUUUGAUUUCUUAGGAAAUUCUCUUGGACCUCAAGAGUGUGUGUAGAGCAGUCAUUCUAAUCCCAUAUGGAAGGUUGAAUACGUCCUAUGAUUCGAGGAGAACAAAAGGAGAAAAAGUCAAGAAUAGAGAUGGAAAUGAGAGGCUUAGGAAGAAGCUGGAGGAGAAAAGAGAUGAAAGGCAACUUUGGAGGGUGGUGGGUGGAUUGUCAGGCAUCUGCUGGUGACCACGCAUGCUCCUACAAGGGGAAGGCACUACUGCAGAUAAAAACCUCUUUAUUUUAUUGAGAGCUGCUGGAAGGUCUCUUGUCUGAGAUGGGGGACUGGAAUUCUAUCUAAUGGUAGCAUCCACAUUUUGUCUUGCUGAGUUUUCUGUGCUUUGCCUGGUAUGUCUUAAUCCCUGUAUUAUGACUGAGGACAGGGCUUUUCCAACUUUGACAUGCAUUAGCAUCACCUCAGUGUUUUGUUUAAAGCUGUGAAUGGGAUCUGAGCAGCUGAUUUAAAUAGACGGCCGCAGUGUCACUCAACAUGUGAAGCAUUUUAGUAGAUGAAUUAACAUACAAAGUCCUAAAUACAGGAGCCGUCUCAUUGUUUUUUACUGAAGAACAAUGUACAGAGUAUAUCCUCAAGAGCCAUGUCCAGGAGUACCAAAAUGAAAUAACAAAAGCUUAAUAGAUCCAUUCUGCUUGCUGUAUUCCCCUGUAGGAUUCUGCCUUAAAAAUUUUUGUACCCACUUAUAUCACAAACUCAAAAGAGCAAAAUCUGCACACAUGGCUUCCUGCGACUUCAGUUUCUCACAGUUUUUGACCUUGAGAUUGAGCAUUUUUAAGCAUAAUUGAGUAAGUACCAUGGCAACCACAAUCUCUGAGGAUGCCAUCAGAGGGUUGAUUCCAGGUGGACAUUUACUACAAAUCACUUGGGCCAUUUUUUUCCCCCCAAAGCCUGUUUUGUAUUCAAAAAUAAAAACAAAUUCUUCCUGCAAGAAAUCCUUCUUGGGUAGAACUGAAUACCUGUGUUAUUCUAUCUAAAUGUUGGGCGGUUACAAAAAGGCAAAGAUGGGGGUACAAAUAGGUGAAAAAUCAAAGACUCAGGCCCUAUUCCUCUAUUUGCUUCUAAAUCACUUCCCAGCCAAGCAGUUCAACUUGACCACACCUUUGAUUUUCUCCUCUGUAAAUUAGGAUGCUCUGUUUUGUUUUGUUUUUUUUUCCAGUCUCAAAAGAUUGUUGGAGAAUACCAAAUAGAAGUGUAGCAUGUUUAUUUAGGAAGGGCAGUUCUCUUGUCUUUAAAAGUAAUUAAAGUGGAAUAAAUUGAGCCAUAAUAAUAAAAAGGAAAGCGAAGAUUUAUAUGGAAGGUUUCCUGAAAGUCGUUGUGGAGAAAAGUGAGAUUAAAUUUCCCUAGAGAUAGAAUGCUAUGCGGGUUUCUAAUUAUGAAGAAAUCAUAAUUAUAAAGAAGUAGUGGAAUGCAGCUAAUUUUGCCCUGCUUGCCUUAUUAACGGUUUAUUUCGAGCUUAUCUACAGUUAUUGGGUAGCAACUGGAUUGCUCGAAGCAGAGGAAAGGGUUUCAUUCAUGAUUCUGCCAUUAUAAAGCUAAUGGAGUUGGUUGAGAGCAUGUCAGCUUAAUACAUGGAGAGGCAGAAG
rnacentral:lncRNA from 1 species